GAUGAACGCUGGCGGCGUGCCUAAUACAUGCAAGUCGAGCGAACAGACGAGGAGCUUGCUCCUCUGACGUUAGCGGCGGACGGGUGAGUAACACGUGGAUAACCUACCUAUAAGACUGGGAUAACUUCGGGAAACCGGAGCUAAUACCGGAUAACAUGCUGAACCGCAUGGUUCAACAGUGAAAGACGGUCUUGCUGUCACCUAUAGAUGGAUCCGCGCCGCAUUAGCUAGUUGGUAAGGUAACGGCUUACCAAGGCAACGAUGCGUAGCCGACCUGAGAGGGUGAUCGGCCACACUGGAACUGAGACACGGUCCAGACUCCUACGGGAGGCAGCAGUAGGGAAUCUUCCGCAAUGGGCGAAAGCCUGACGGAGCAACGCCGCGUGAGUGAAGAAGGUCUUCGGAUCGUAAAACUCUGUUAUUAGGGAAGAACAAAUGUGUAAGUAACUAUGCACGUCUUGACGGUACCUAAUCAGAAAGCCACGGCUAACUACGUG
rnacentral:rRNA from 1 species